CUUUGACAUUACAAAACUGAAGUUGAGUUAAUGCCUGAGCCUCAAACUGAGAACCAUUCAGGUAAUACUUGGUACAUGCUGUAGGUACAACCCAGGAUGGAUUACCAGCUGGCAAAGAAGGCACCUGCUCCAGGAACCCAGGGACCCUUAAGGACCCAGGGACCCUCAGGUCCCCCAAGAAUAAGCUUUGACCUGAGCACAGUGUAUGUGGAAACCCUGCUGUCUUGCCUAUCUGAAUGAUCUUGUGUUAAUGCCCCAUGUCAGAAGUGAGUGCCAUCUUGUUGGGAGGCGAGGUACCUAUGGUGUGGUCCUUACACUUUAUGGCCAUGAGUAGAGUUGUGUUGCACCUGAGGUGAGUAGGUGGUGCCACCCCUGGGCACUCAGUCUGCCUCUCCACAAAUGGCCUCUACUUACUUUCCUUAGUCUUGUUUAGUUUAGCAUGUUUGGACUGAAAAUGUUAUCUUACUUGUGGUUUUAGAUUUUGUAUUAAGACACUUUAAGCAAUUGUAAUAAAAGCACUGUUCUAAUUCCCUCUUAUUGGUAUUCGUGUUGAUCUGACGAUGUUUUCUUUUCUCCCAGCAGCUCCAGUCCCUGCCUACCUGCUUACUUUUGACAAAUCUAAUAAAACAUUUGGUUUAUUUUGACUCCA